rnacentral:rRNA from 1 species
AUGAACGCUGGCGGCGUGCUUAACACAUGCAAGUCGAACGAAGCACUUUUACAGAUUUCUUCGGAAUGAAGUUUUAGUGACUGAGUGGCGGACGGGUGAGUAACGCGUGGGUAACCUGCCUCACACAGGGGGAUAACAGUUGGAAACGGCUGCUAAUACCGCAUAAGCGCACAGUACCGCAUGGUACAGUGUGAAAAACUCCGGUGGUGUGAGAUGGACCCGCGUCUGAUUAGCUAGUUGGCAGGGCAACGGCCUACCAAGGCGACGAUCAGUAGCCGACUUGAGAGAGUGACCGGCCACAUUGGGACUGAGACACGGCCCAGACUCCUACGGGAGGCAGCAGUGGGGAAUAUUGCACAAUGGAGGAAACUCUGAUGCAGCGACGCCGCGUGAGUGAAGAAGUAGUUCGCUAUGUAAAGCUCUAUCAGCAGGGAAGAUAGUGACGGUACCUGACUAAGAAGCUCCGGCUAAAUACGUG